ACAUUUUUGAAUUAUAUACUUUGAACGAAUCUUAAAACACAUCUAAUUAUUAAACGGUGAAAGUAGAUACAAAUUUUACAACAAAAAAAUUUAAACGAAUUUAUUGAACAAUUUUACGAAAUAAGGUAUUGAUUUAUUGGUAUCGAGGUUUAAAUUAUUUGAAAUAUACAUUUACCCCACCUUUUUACGGAUCAAAUUGUACCACUGUAACGAAACGUACAAAUUGUUGAUAUUUUAUACCAAAUCCCGUCUUGUCAUGGUUUUGGAUUUUAUACGUGUACUCCUCAAAAGCCUGAACAACAAACAACAAAGGCGGAGUAAAUUUGAACGGAUCUAUCCAUCAAAAGUAAACGAAGUGGGGAACGGUACAAUUAGUUGUAAAUUAAAACAAACCAUGUAUUUGCUCUCUCUUGAUUUAUUCAGUCCACCACAAAAGAAGUUAUACGUUGAGGCAACGUAUAACUCGAGGUAAAUUAAACAUCCUAACAAACACGUAAAACGGUACGGUACGGAGUAAUUUGGCCUGUACGUAGAAUGAACCAACGCGUAGUACGGUACAGAUACACCAUCAAUAAAUGAUACAACAAACGAAAAAAGGCCACAACGAAGAAGCCCAACCAAGGCUAUUGCAACGCAAACACUCCUAAGCAAGCUGAUGCAGGCAAACAGAAGAAGUACCUGAGCAAGAAGAAGGAACGCCCUAGAGUCAAACAUCCACGGCUACUAUGGCACGUCCACUGAGUUGGUUCGAGUUCCUCCUCGAGCUACUUCUAGAAAAAGUAGUACAACAAAGCAAAGUCAACUAGUCAUCACCGCUGGUCAGCCCCGCUAGCCCCUAGAAAACGUAAACCCCAUCAGAAGAAAAUAAAACCAAGGCAUCAGCCUGUAACUAACAUAGACCAACUACAUGACGAUAUAAAUACAUAACACACUUCACCG
rnacentral:rRNA from 1 species